GGCUCCUCCCGGCGGGUCUCGCGGGAGCGGCGGGACCCGCUUUAAGGCCCGUGAGGCGCCUCCCUCGCCCUUUCCUCGCAGCCCGUCGCUGCGUGUGUGGAGGGAGGAAGGCGGCAGGAAGCGUCCCCUGGCACCGGCAGGGCCGUCAGAUGGCCCCGAAGGCUUUGUCCUCUGGGCGGCCGCGCUCGGUCGCGCCCCGCGCGGGCGGGAGGCGCAGGGUGGUAGGCCUCGCCAACGGGAAGCGCUGGGGACCUGGGGUCGUGCCUUUGACCGCCCAUAGAGGCCCCACUUUGCAACUUCAUGUUUGAAAUAUUCUAGACAUGGAUGAGCAAACCCAAAUUAGAAGCAAUGCUCAGGACUUCUUAGGGACAUAUAAUACCUUCUGUUAGAAGGUUUCUGAAGUCUGGUGCUUUAUGAACAUAUGUGAUAAAUGUCCUGAGUGAAAAGAGUUCCUUGAAAACUGGUUGGUGUCCAGGGAGGAAACCAGCACGUGCAAGGGACUUGAACUGAUAUUAAACAUCUUAUGACUUCAUGAGCGGUCAAUUUCUGAACUCAUACUAGAUGGCUCUAGUUGUUACCUGUAAUGUAUUGUCUUGAAAGUGGAAUUGAGGCAAGCAGUGGCUAAAACUACGUGCCUUCAAUGAUCACAUUUAAACAGGAACCUCACCAUUUGUUGAAACAAGUUUCUUACAAAAACUCAUGUAAUUUAUGUUUGCGUGGAUUAAUUGAAAUAAAAUAUGAGAAUGCUGCCAGAA